GUCUGAGUGUAUUAAGUGCCGUGCCGGCCUGUCCGCACUGUAGCGAGUGGCGCCCCGCCCUCCUCUGUGAUCACGUGAUCUUGUGACCGCCGACCAAUUCCUGGCCGGCUGGGUCAGUCGGUGCCGGGCAGCCAGCCAAUACAGGCCUAUCGAGGACGCGGACUCUACAGUGGCGACGAGGCAACCACUCACAGGCGGCGAUGACCAACGAGAGCAAGGUGACCAGCCCUCCUGGAAUGUCGGCUAUUGGCAUCGGUGAAUACCAGGCGAGUACAGAUUGGCAAGAAUAUGUCGAAAGAUUUGAAUUUUCUUGUUUUGCACAAGGUAUCACUGAGGAUGAGCGCAAAAAAGCCUUAUUACUUGCAUCUGUUGGCCAAGAAACUUAUACGAGUAUCAAGUCAGUUUUGUCACCGGCAUCACCUGUUGGACUUCCAUAUGUGGAGUUGUUGGAGCGAGUGGGUCGGCAUUUAGCACCCAAGCAAUCAGUGAUACUCAGCCGGUUUAAGUUCAAUCAGUGCAUUCAGGAACCUCAUCAGUCAGCUGCUGAUUACGUCGCUAACCUCAAGAGAUUGGCCGAAAAAUGUGAUUUUGGUCAGACUUUGGACAGCAUGCUUCGUGACAGACUUGUGUGCGGGGUCAAAGACUCCGUGUUGCAGAAGCGGCUUCUGGCGGAGGAGGACUCCCUGACGUUCGUCAUGGCCGAGAGGUUGGCGUUGGCGGCGGAGUCGGUCACCAGAGACGUGGGUCAGCUCGCGGCGGGCCGUGCCGUCGGUUCGCUGGAAUCUGAAGCGGUACACCGCGCCGAUCAGCUGAUUUCUGACCGGCAGCGCGCCGGUUCCGUGACCGGGUCAAGGUCAGUGGGUCGCGGUCGAGCCGCGGCGGCCGCCGGGUCGCGGCAGGCUGGCCGGCCGGGGCGGGGGACCGGUGACCGACCGGGAGGGUCCGAAGCAGCCGACAUGAGGCGGCGUCAGGACUGCUAUCGAUGUGGUGGUAUGCAUAACCCACGGAACUGUCGAUUCCGCGACUAUCACUGUCAUAGCUGCGGUGAGCUGGGGCACCUGAAACGCAAGUGUGUUCGAAGUGUCCAUGCUGUAACCGACCCUCCUGCAGUUCAGAAUGAUGACAGUCAGAGUGAGUCAGAUGUUUGCAGUAUCUACUCUGUUGGCCGCCCCAAGUGUCCCCCGAUCACCGUCGAGGUACUGGUUUUCGGUGUCCCUGUGCGGUUUGAAGUUGACACCGGGGCUGCUAGCACUCUGAUGACCGCCGAAACGUUUCGGAAUGUGUCGGACAACGGGGGGCAUGGCGGGCUGACGCUCUCCAGGUCAGAGGCGAGGCUGCGCUCGUAUACGGGAAACGCCAUCCCUGUCAUCGGUGAGUUCAGCGCCGUUGUGAGGUACGAAAGCCAGCAUCUGGACCUGCCCGUUCUGGUCGUCGAGUCACACGGGCCGAAUCUGCUGGGCCGUGAUUGGUUGGCGACACUGAAGCUUGACUGGCGCGGCAUCAAGCAGGCGCCGGGUGGAGGAGCAGCUUCAGGCGGAGGUGGAAGCCGGUGUCCUAGAGCCGGUGAAGUCGUCAGACUGGGCCUGCCAGAUCGUUCCAGUCUUGAAGCCGGACGAGGGAGAUGGAGAAGCUGCUGGCCGGUCUGCAGAAUGUGUUCGUCUUCCUGGACGACGUGCUCGUCUCUGGGUGCGACGAAGUGGAGCUGCUGAAGACUGUGGAGGAGGUGCUGCGGCGUUUCCAGGACGCUGGCGUCAAGAACCACCCGGCAUGCUACGACCGGUGAAACGCCUUCACGGCUCCUGCUGGGCUACCAGCCGGUGACGAGAUUUGACCGCCUGAAGCCCAGUCUGGAGCGCAACGUCAGGACGAAGCAGUUCACCCAAGUUCAGCAGCACAAGAAGCGUCACCCUACCAGCCGGCCAACGCUGUCUCCAGGAGAUAUGGUGCUCGCUCGCUACUACCGUCAGGCCGAUGUCGUGGAUCCCUGGAGCCGAGCGACAGCCAUCCGGACUCGCCGCGCCCUGGUGUGGGAGCGCGCUCUGGCUCCGCCGGCGGCUCGCAUGCCGCUACGCCGCUGGGCACUGCCCUGGCCUCGCCAGGAGGAGGCGCAGAGGCGGUGCGGCCUGCGUCCCCUGUCGACGUCGACGAGCCGGGGGACUCUGUUCGGCCGCCCGAGGACCGCCGAGCCGCGUCUCCCGCCCGCGUCGCUGACGGCGUGGGAGCGAGGGAUGCCGAUGGGGAAGAAAGGCGCUAUCCUGUGCGCGUGAGGCGAGCGCCUGAUCGUUUCGGACACUGAUGUGCCGUGAUUCUAUCCGGUAGAAACCGUGACUGAUUCAGUUAAUUUUGUUUUGUUAACUCUGACCAUUGACUCGUUCAAUGUGUCAUUUUGGUGUCGGGGAGGUGUAGUGUCUGAGUGUAUUAAGUGCCGUGCCGGCCUGUCCGCACUGUAGCGAGUGGCGCCCCGCCCUCCUCUGUGAUCACGUGAUCUUGUGACCGCCGACCAAUUCCUGGCCGGCUGGGUCAGUCGGUGCCGGGCAGCCAGCCAAUACAGGCCUAUCGAGGA
rnacentral:misc_RNA from 1 species